GCCAAUGUGGUUUAAUGGUUUGGAUGUUGGAUUAAGACUCUAGAGACCAGGGUUCAAAUCCCCACUCCACCA